rnacentral:lncRNA from 1 species
CUCUAAUUCAUUUUCUGCCUGAAAACUGAUGAGCAUUCUGGUGUACCUCUUUGUUACAGAAACCACUGUCCAGCUACAUCAUACUGUGUUUUGUCUGGAUGAGCUUAAAAGGUUGUUCUCUGUGGUGCAGUCUGCAUUUUAAGCCUGAAGCUGAGAUUAAAAAACAAGGACAAUCAAAUAUGGGGCACGACAGAACAUUGCCAGCUGCUUACAUUUGUUCCAGCAGGGCAUCAUCCUGUUGAGUGAAGCUUCCUUCAGAGGCCCAUGGUGAGCUCCUCAGCACGAGUGUGCAGGACAAUGUAAUGAAUCUGUGUAUUCAGCAGGAACUUGUUGCCCACAGCCAACCCCUCUGUGGUGGAACCUGCUCGCCAUGGAUUCUAAAACAAGGCAAUUAUUUAUGUUAAAGGGGAUCAAAGGAGAAAUGGGGACAAAUGCACAACUGUAAUAUAUAAAGUCUUCUUGGGCUUCAUGGUAUUAUUUUGAUUGAGCUACUCUAACCACAAUUUAUGAGCCAAAGUCUCCAUUUACUUUGGUGCACCAAAGGGUGCAAAUCAUACUUAUGCUUAUAGCAAGCACACUCUGCAAGCAUAGACUUGCAGUCAUAAAAACAGUGUCUAGGCUCACAGCAAACAACCAAUGAUUUAUUAAAAUAAGGACAUCAAAAAUUAAACAAUCUCAGAAUUUUUCCCAUUAUUAACAUUUUCUGUGAAGAAACUUUCUCAAAAAGAGAUGACAGCUUUUAUUCUUUGCCAAUUCAGUUAUGCUAAUUUUAGAUGUAAUUUCUUACUUUUAUGACUGCUAUCUGCGUUAGGAUGUGUUUCUUUCUUUGCUUUGGUCUGCAGUUUGAAGAGAAAAUGCUUUGAAACAUUCACAGGCUGUGCUGGAAGUGGAGCAGCCCAUAGUGGCAUGCUAUACCAGCGUUUGGGUUUUUGUUUUGUAGUUCUUGCUUUGGUUUUGAGGAGAGAUGGUAAUCAAAGUUGGGCAGAUGGUGCUCCUAGACUAAGAAAACACUGAGAAAUCUCAAUAUUUAACCCAAAUAGGGAGAAGCUUGUGCUGCAGCAGAGUUCUGUGACCCUACAGAUUCUACCACACAGAAAAGCAGGACCUUUUAAAAGUGUGAGGCAGCUGCUCUGCCUUCUCCAUCCUGGUGAUUUUCCAGAUCCCAGUAGCUCACCUACCACCCACGUGGGAAGGUGGUUCACAAUUUAUGUUGCACCUCAAUUACCAACAAACCACAAGCCU